rnacentral:misc_RNA from 1 species
GCCAGAGCUCACAUUCUAUUCCUACAGGCUUAUCGUCUUCUUCUGGUGCUACUGGUCUGGCUAGUGCAUUUGGUUCAGGUUUGGAACAACUUAAUGCAGGCUACUUAUCUACUCCAGGCAAUAUAGGAUUUGAAGCAGCCUCUCGGACAUUGGAUAUAUCUUCUGAUGCUAUUGAAUCUAAUUCAGCUGCAGUUCUUAGGUGUUUCUAUUUUUAUUUUUCAGUUUUUAUUUCUCCACUCUUCAGAACUUAAUUUGCUAACAUGUUUAACUUUUGUAUAAUGUUCUAGUUCUUCAUCUAUCCAUAUUGGGGCAACUGAUGGCGUUACCCAGCAGAAUUCUGAAAACAAUUCUGUCAUUGCUUCAUUUCCUUCAACUGCUCCAGCCCCUGAACUUCAGCCAGGGGAUUCCUCUGAUGCUGUGAAGGAAUUGACUUCACAACAAAUAUCUUCAUCAGCUGCUUCUGAGAAACUUGGGAGUGGCAUUUCAGAACCUUCAUUAAAUACAAGUGAUGCAUUGGAUAAAUAUCAGAUUGUCGCACAAAAGUUGGAGGCUUUGGUU